GCGUCCUUCGGGAUCGCACACGCAAAAUUUGGAAGGAUACGGAGAAGAUUAGCAUGGCCCCUGCACAAGGAUGACACGCUGUUUCGGAGUGGGUUGACCAUUAGGU
rnacentral:snRNA from 1 species